rnacentral:rRNA from 1 species
GCAAGACCUUGCGCGAAUGGAGCGGCCGAUGGCAGAUUAGGUAGUUGGUGAGGUAAAGGCUCACCAAGCCUUCGAUCUGUAGCUGGUCUGAGAGGACGACCAGCCACACUGGGACUGAGACACGGCCCAGACUCCUACGGGAGGCAGCAGUGGGGAAUUUUGGACAAUGGGCGAAAGCCUGAUCCAGCCAUGCCGCGUGCAGGAUGAAGGCCUUCGGGUUGUAAACUGCUUUUGUACGGAACGAAACGGCCUUUUCUAAUAAAGAGGGCUAAUGACGGUACCGUAAGAAUAAGCACCGGCUAACUACGUGCCAGCAGCCGCGGUAAUACGUAGGGUGCAAGCGUUAAUCGGAAUUACUGGGCGUAAAGCGUGCGCAGGCGGUAAUGUAAGACAGUUGUGAAAUCCCCGGGCUCAACCUGGGAACUGCAUCUGUGACUGCAUUG